CUUGGGGAAUACCAGGGGCCUGUCGCCAUCAAGGUGGGCACCCUCGAGGGGCCCCACUGGCCUCCCCCUCCCAGCGCUUCCUUGGGGGACAGCCAAGGCUGCCUCAGGCCUGUGCUCUAACUGUGGCUACUCUCCACCACCUCCAGUGGCCAGAGCAAGUCCUAGUCCACCUAGACCCAAGGAGCAGGGACAGGAGGCCAUAUUGGAUGGGAAGCCAAGCACUGUCACAACUGCAGAUUGUGGAUAGAGGAGCAGUAUUCCCGAGGCCACUGUGACUGCCAGCCCUGCAAGCGGCCUCAGGCCCAGGACUCCAUCCCUCGUACCCAAGAAACCCAUGCACCCUGUCCCACAUGCCACAUGCCCUCUGACUGUGGCACUACGACCAAGCCAUGAUCUAGUGACAAGCCCAGCUGUAAUGUCCCCAUCCAGCAGCUCCACACCCAGGGAUGCAGGGCAGACAAGUUCUGCAGCCACAGCCCAGACUUGGAAACUGGGGGAACCCAGCUUCCUUCAGGGGUCAGCAAUGUGGGGCUGUGGUCACUGUCCCUUGCUGCCCAGAGGCAAACAACCUGCUUGGUGUACAGGCAUCAUGGUCUUGGCUGGGUAGGGGAGGCUGUGGAACUUGGGCCCCGUGAGGAGGAGGCCUAGAGGCCUGGGCCUUGCAGGUCGAGAGGCAUUUGGGGCACCUGACCCUGGGUCCUACCUGGGCUUGCGAAGGACCCCGGGGUGAGGCACCAACACCUGCUAACGCAGAGGCUGGAGCCACGGGGAGGUCACUCCAGGAGCCAGGCCCCAGGCAUGGAGGCACACGGUCCCUCCCACCCAGAGACACCGGGACCUCAGGGUGUCCCUGGGCAGAUUGGCUCCCAGGUACACAGCUGCUCGGUCACUUGGCUGACGCCCCCUCCCCAGGCCACUGGGCUUGUCAGGGCCACUGGGCUGCUGAGUUUUGGAAGCUCCCAGGGAGAGAGAUUAAUUUCCUCAAGAGGCAAAUCUGAAGCACUGCAGGGGAGGAACCGGCAAGGCCCGAAAUGCCCUGAGGUGGGAGCAGCCCUGGGGUCCAGCCCCAGGGACCCCCUUGGCAGGCAGGAAAAGCCAGUGGUCACCAGCAACCCAGGCCCAGGAAGCAGUCCACCCCAGCUGUCCUCCAGGUCCCUGCAGUGCCACGGCCAUGGCACUCAGAGGAGGUGACCUGGGGGCAGAGACUUGCUGGUAGGGGAGGGAGGUGGGAAUGGGCACAACCCAGCUGCCACCUGAGAGCCAGGCUCCCAGGGACUUGGGGACACUUGGCUGGGACAUUGACCUGCUGCUUUACACAGGGGAUCCCAACCCCCCAACUUCAUGGAGCCCACUCCUGCCCACUGGAGCCUCCAAGCCUCCAGCCGUGGCCUGUGUCACCCUCCUGCUCCAGGGUGGGCGCUGUGCCCACAGUGCCCCCCUCACACCAACCCUGUGUACAGAUAAGGGAACCGAGGCCCAGACAGGUCAGGU
rnacentral:lncRNA from 1 species